rnacentral:antisense_RNA from 1 species
UGUAGGAGUGAGCCUGCUCGCGAUAACGGUGUGUCAGUCAACUCAAUGGUUGGCUGAUACACCGUUAUCGCGAGCAGGCUCACUCCUACA